UAACGUUUGUGUUAGUCCCCCCAGAUAUAGGGUAUUAUUUAUCCGAAUAAAAUAUUAAUUUAUUUGAGAUGUGUAAUAUUGUUGUUCUAGGAGCACGUGUACGUCGUGGAAUUGAUCCAAUGGAGGAUCUUGAAUUAAUUGCGUGCUCGAGACGCAAUCAUACAGUACUGGUGUUCUGUAUUGUAUAUAUGGAUGAGCGAGCAAGUUAUAAUGUUUCCCGUGAGUUGCCAUCGGACCGAGGGCAGACAAGUUUGAUAUUGGCCAUAAGCCGCCUCCCUCCAUGACCCGGAUGACGGUUUAAACAGCGGCGCUGUCGAGACGCCGAAGCGACCGUAUACAAGUUUCUCUCUUUAACCUCCCGUUACACGGUGCUCGGGACGCUGGGUAUCGUGGGACAUCACUGGUAUAUAGUGUGGUACAAGGAUUGGGAGACGUUGAUCGUUCGGGACGAGCCCGACAACUCAGUUCAUUGCCGAAAGUUCAAAAAGCAUUUCCUCCCUUUUUCCUUUUCAUCUUGUAUUACUUCUUUAUCUAACAUUGUAUUAAUUUCAUAUUUAUUUGUAUAAUGCUCUGUAUACUGUAUUAGACACAUUUUAUUAAAUAUUGCAUUAAUUUCCUAUUA